CACAAAGUAACUCGAUUCGUUACGUAAAUUUUGAUUUACAUGGUACUUCGAUGAAGUUGAAGCACAUGCUCGAAGUGGUUACAUAAACACCGAUAGAAAUUGGGGGACGUAGAUGUCGUUGUGAAAUGUUCCCAUUACGUAAGAAUGAAAUCGCACGAGGGCGGGUUUUGCCUUAAUGUUUUAAACACUAUCUGGAGCAGUAUUAACUGUAUUCAAUAUUAAAUGCAUCGAAGAAAAAUAUACCGUCGUUACCACAUAGCCUGACCUGAUUGUUACAAGUUUCUGCAACAGCAAAUAAAAUUCGCGCCUCGCCCCA